CUUCGCAAAACGAUGUCGUUUCACGAAGCUUUUUGUUAACCGCCUCCAAUGACGAAGAUCAGAGAAAUGGGGAGGGUUAAGGCUUACUUUCUUCCGGUAUUUGAAAAUAUAAAAUUCGAGAGAGGCUGGGGAAGGCAAACUACAAACCUGACUAGGGUUCAACGGUCGAGAUUUCGAGAACCGAUAAACAUGAAGAAACGCUAUGGUUAGUGUUCGAGGAGGAUGACUCUGGUCAGAGGCCUUGCGUGAAGUGCGAAGAAAAGGAGGAAAACAGGAGCUUCAAGGCAGUCGUGGACUCGAGGUUUACAAGAAAAAGAGGAUGGACGUUGUCAAAGGAGAAGUUGAUCCAUCAGUCAAUCAAAGCCGAAAGAGGAAAGAAAAUUUAAAUUUUCUUCCUCUCGCCGUGGUCAUUUGUUGAAGGAAGAAGAAAAGCCAGAGGAUUAAAAAUGAAGAUUCUGACGGUGCAUGGUAACAGGGGAACCAAUUUGAAAGUGACAAUUCAGAGGAGAACAUCAGGGUUCGCUAUAUCCCCUGCGUGUUCUUGAAAUACCUUUCGGCCAUAAGAAGGGAGGAAAGUAAAUAGAAGGAGUACACCUUCUGGAUUUUUAAAAAGGAAAAAGUUAAGGGGAAAAGGAAGAGAAAAAAAACGAAAAGUGAAGGAAUGCCGUGAUAAGCGAUUGGCUAAGGAGAAAAGAAAUGCGGAGGAUACACAUUAUGAGAGAAUGAGGUGAUUCAGGCAAGAAGAAGUUGGCAGAAGGAUGCGAGGCUUGGAGGUAGAGGAGUAGAAGCCUUAAGAAAGUCAUUUAGGUAUUUCCAACCAGGGUCCCUCAGGACGAAAUGGGAGAACUGAAGACUUUCUUUUAUCUGGUGGUGAAGGAGUUGCUCAAUAAUUUUUCGGGAUGUAAUCCUAUCAGCUUCAAAUGCCCUCAUGUCAUCUUUUAGACCUGCAUCCGUUGCAGCAAAAAGAGUUAACUGGUCAAUUCUUCAAUGAAGAUACAUUUCGCCAUUUGAAUGAAGUACAUGCAUGGAAGAUAACAAGCAGCCACAUGCCACCACCACAUGUUUGGUAAUGGAAUUUACGCUUUCCUCAUUUUGGCAAAA